CCAAUAGCGUAUAUUAAAGUUGUUGCAGUUAAAAAGCUCGUAGUUGAAUUUCGGGGUUAGUAGGUUGGUCAUGCCUCUGGUAUGUACUGGUCUCACUGAUUCCUCCUUCCUGAUGAGCCGUAAUGCCAUUAAUUUGGUGUUGCGGGGAAUUUGGACUGUUACUUUGAAAAAAUUCGAGUGUUUAAAGCAAGCUAACGCUUGAAUACAUUAGCAUGGAAUAAUGAAAUAGGACGUUCGAUCCUAUUUUGUUGGUUUCUAGGAUUGACGUAAUGAUUAAUAGGGAUAGUUGGGGGCAUUAGUAUUCAAUUGUCAGAGGUGAAAUUCUUGGAUUUAUUGAAGACUAACUACUGCGAAAGCAUUCGCCAAGGAUGUUUUCAUUAAUCAAGAACGAAAGUUAGGGGAUCGAAGACGAUCAGAUACCGUCGUAGUCUUAACCAUAAACUAUGCCGACUAGGGAUCGGAUGAUGUUAAUUUUUUAAUGACUCAUUCGGCGCCUUACG
rnacentral:rRNA from 1 species